UUCUAUCGCAUUGCGUCAGGUGCCCCUAGAGGGUGAAACGGGAAAUCGGUGCGUCGCAGGCUUGCCUUACAGGCCUGGACUAUUCCGGUGCUGCCCCCGCAACGGUAAGCGAGUGAGGCGUCUUUACCACUGUGCCGCCAGAUACGGCAUGGGAAGGUGACGCUGCCCAGGAGAUACCCUCCUCCUCGCAAGCCCGGAGACCGGCCUGACGUUCAUCAACACCC
rnacentral:ncRNA from 1 species